UGGGGAAUAUUGGACAAUGGGCGAAAGCCUGAUCCAGCAAUGCCGCGUGUGUGAAGAAGGCCUGCGGGUUGUAAAGCACUUUCAGAGGGGAGGAAGGCAUUAGCUUUAAUAAAGCUGAUGAUUGACGUUACCCUCAGAAGAAGCACCGGCUAACUCUGUGCCAGCAGCCGCGGUAAUACAGAGGGUGCAAGCGUUAAUCGGAAUUACUGGGCGUAAAGGGUGUGUAGGUGGUGAUGUAAGUUAGGUGUGAAAUCCUCGGGCUUAACCUGAGAAUUGCGCUUAAUACUGCAUCGCUAGAGUACUGCAGAGGGCAGUGGAAUUUCCAGUGUAGCGGUGAAAUGCGUAGAUAUUGGAAGGAACACCAGUGGCGAAGGCGACUGCCUGGAUAGAUACUGACACUGAGACACGAAAGCGUGGGUAGCAAACAGG
rnacentral:rRNA from 1 species